GUGUGAGUGCCCGUGCGGAUAGGUUCUGUUGUAUGCAGUCCUCAGAUGUACUUGCUUUCGAGUCGGAUUGCUUGAGAAUGCAGUCCAAAGUGGGUGGUAAACUCCAUCCAAGGCUAAAUACUGGCACGAGUCCGAUAGUAGACAAGUACCGUGAGGGAAAGUUGAAAAGUACUCUGAAGAGAGAGUAAAUAGCACGUGAAGCCGGUUGCAGGGAAGCUGGUGGAGUCAAGCUUCAUGCUUGAGGGGUUUAUGUUAGCAACCCUGUGUUGUAUGGGCGUGUGGCUAGUCUACUUGGAAUAAGUUGGGCACAUCCGUGUGCUUCAAGUCAUUCUGGGUUGUGUGUUUGAGCUGGUCACAUCGUUCAGUUGCUAGCAUUCUAUCUCUCGUUGCAUAAAUCACGGUUGAUAGCUUUAUGCUGUGUGAUUGUCUAACUGUGCCACGGCGGGCCUGUGCUUGUCGGGUAUGGGAUGGCAGGUUGAGUCUGCGUGCCUUGUGUAUGUUGACUCUUAUAGUGGUUUUGACCAGCUGACUAUCAUGCAGUAUUGAAGUUAUCAUUGUUUUAUGGCGUACCGUCCUCGGACUGUGCGUCGGUUAGAACCGUGAUUCUGAGGUAGA
rnacentral:rRNA from 1 species